UACGUAGGUGGCAAGCGUUGUCCGGAUUUACUGGGCGUAAAGAGCGCGCAGGCGGUCGUUCAAGUCGCGUGUGAAAGCCCCCGGCUCAACUGGGGAGGGUCACGCGAUACUGAUCGACUCGAAGGCAGGAGAGGGAAGUGGAAUUCCCGGUGUAGUGGUGGAAUGCGCAGAUAUCAGGAGGAACACCUAUGGCGAAGGCAGCUCUCUGGUACGUGACUGACGCUGAGACGCGAAAGCGUGGGGAGCGAACAGG
rnacentral:rRNA from 1 species